UGAGGAAUAUUGGACAAUGGGCGCAAGCCUGAUCCAGCCAUGCCGCGUGAGUGAAGAAGGCCUUCGGGUUGUAAAGCUCUUUUACCAGGGACGAUAAUGACGGUACCUGAAGAAUAAGCACCGGCUAACUACGUGCCAGCAGCCGCGGUAAUACGUAGGUGGCAAGCGUUGUCCGGAUUUAUUGGGCGUAAAGCGAGCGCAGGCGGUUCCUUAAGUCUGAUGUGAAAGCCCCCGGCUCAACCGGGGAAUGGCAUUUGUGACUGUAGAGCUAGAGUACGGUAGAGGGGGAUGGAAUUCCGCGUGUAGCAGUGAAAUGCGUAGAUAUGCGGAGGAACACCGAUGGCGAAGGCAAUCCCCUGGACCUGUACUGACGCUCAUGCACGAAAGCGUGGGGAGCAAACAGGAUUAGAUACCCCCGUAGUCCCUGAGCGGGCUGGCAAGGCGCAU
rnacentral:rRNA from 1 species